AGGGACAGGCACCUGACCCAUAUUUGGACAAUAAUUUUCUCCUUGGGAAUUUUGAAGAGAUAGAGAUGAGAGAAAAAGAGCUGUCUUAACUCCUCUCCAGCUGAUUGGUCCAAUAACAUACAACGCUUGGGUGCUCUUGGCAGCCAUGUUUCCCUCACUGUGCAGAAGCCAAAAGCAGAAGAAGCUGGUCGGAUGAGAGAGAAAGAAAGAUGAGGAGACUCCCGGUGGCAUCUGAAUUUCUGGUUCCACUCCAUUCCUGAGGCCAGGCUAUAAUCUAGUUCCUGGUCUCUGAGACAUGUCCCUGUAGUGUUGUAAUUAAGUUUCCCUUUCUUGCUUAAACUAGUUUAGGUAGAUUUUUUGUUAUUUACAACCCAAAGAGCUAAGGAAUAGUAUGAACUUUCUUACCAGAUGCAUUUGUUCAUUCAAGAAAUAUUUUUGGAGCAACUGCUAUGUUCCAGGUAUGUGCAAGGUGCUGGAAAUUCAAUGAUGAUCAGGAUAGACGUGGUAUCUAUCCUCAGGGACUUUGUACUAGAUGGGUAAAAGGCCAGGGCAGGGCAGACAUGGAACAAAUGUUUGAUAUAUACGAAGAUAGAACAGAUUUAUGAGAACAUAGAACAAGGUUAUGAGAACUGACAAGCUGAAGACUGAAGGACUGGCCAGGAAGUGGUGGAAGGAGGUAGGAAUUAGGCCGUGGAGGAGGGAGAGCAUCCCAGGCAAGAGAAGAGUGUGCGCGAUGAUAACGCCAUCGUGAAGCCAGCAUCCUCUGGAGAGAAAGCAACACUUCAGGUGGAGCUCCAGCAGUAAUUUUUCAUCCAUGAGGUGAUCUUAAGGAUUGAAGUCACAUGCUAAGGAUGGCAGAGCAGAAGACAGAAGGCGCCCAGCUUCUAGGAUCUUGCAAAGUCCCCAUAUCAGCCUGGUCUGCCUGAAGACAGUUUACCAUCUCCUAGGUGAUGCUGCUUGCCCUGGACCCUUGAAUAGCAGCGACCUAGGAGAUCUUUCCAGGUGCUGGGGAAAGAAAUGAUGAGAGAGGAGAAAGGGAAGCUGAAAGCAGAGAGGAGAGAAUUUCUGAAAAUGGGAAACGAAGUUAUUUAGCAGCUCUACCCUCAAGCAGGUUGUGUGUUCCAGAGCAGCCUGGGCUGCUGGCCUCCUGGGAGGUGGGAGGCGUUCCUGCUCCGGCUCUGACCUGGGACCUGCACCCUCUCCCUGGAUGCCUGAGGCCUUCCAGGGACCCCUAAAACCUGACAGUUUGGGCCAGCAAUUGGCAAACUGGCAAGUGCCGGGUCCCAGUGAGGCCCCUGGUUUCCUCCCCAAAUAGGAAGUAAAUGGGCAUUUUGUGUCCCCACUCAGGCAGAGCCUCUGGAUGGCCUCCCCCCACCGGUGCUUCCCCGACUCCCAGGGCUCUGGCAUAAAUCGGAGCCAUUUCCUUCUCCGGUUUCCCACCUGUGACUAGCCUUUGUCUAAUUUCACCACUGUGGGGACCAGGGGAGGGUUCCUUGGACAAUAAAUCUUUCAUCGGGAAGGUGGUUUUAUCAUUUGAAAGGAUGAUGUUAAAGAAAGAGAGGACAUAAGUGACUAAUGUGCUCAGGGGAUGGUGAAAAGGAAGAGCUCAGGGUGACCAGAAAGGGGUCAGGCUGGUAUGGCAGAGCAGGGCUGAGGAGGAGCGGGUGGAGAGAAUCAGGGAGGCACAUCAGGAAUGCCAGUCCGACACCUGACUGCAGAAAAGGGGCAAAGAGCUUCCUGGUUAGAAGAGAAACCAGGACCCGUGGUGUGGCUCCCUCUCCUCUCCAGAGCACAGGCUGUGGUCUGCUUUGACGUCAGCUCCCGGAUGCACCCAGGUUAUUGGACACGUUGCUUUCAGAUCUGGGCCAGCUGGGGAGGGAAGGGGCAGUGGGGGCAGCCCUCUCACUGAAGGAUGCCCAGAGGUACCUGGUGUGGAACAUCUGCAGGGUGAGCCAAGAUCAUCCUCCAGCCUUCAUCCCUUCAGGGAUGUUUCCCAACCCAGGCUCCCACUCCUGGCUCGUUUCUGAGACGGCAUCGGCAUUCCCAGGGCACUGAUGGCCAAAGCCACCAGGGGGCUGCCACAUGGAAUGGUGUUGGUAUCCCAGGUCACCCUCACUCUGGCUGAUCGGGCCCUAGAAGCAGAGGAAAUCCAAGAAAACCCUCGCUGGAGCCUAUGGACUCUACUGUCUCCCAGCCACCACUAUCUUUGGGACCAUCCUGCUCCAAAUGGUUGACAAUACUUGCUGCCUCCACUUUCUGGAUUCCCAUUCUCCCAGAACUCUACAGUCUAGCUUCUGCCCCACCCCACCCCACUGAAACUGCUCCUACCAAUGGUGUCAACAGCCUGACACCAAAUCCAGGGGUCACUUCCCAGUUUUUAC
ensembl:lncRNA